CCCCACUUCUCCACAACUUAUCAAAACCCAUCUUCCAGUCCAGCUUGUGCCCAAGUCUAUUUGGGAGCAAAACUGCAGGAUCGUCUAUGUAGCCCGUAAUGCCUAAGACAAUGUUGUGUCCUUCUUCCAUUUUGACCGGAUGAACAAGGUUGAGCCUGAGCCUGGAGACUGGAACAGCUAUCUACAGAGAUUCAUGGACAGGAAGAUGGUUUUUGGAUCCUGGUACGACCAUGUGACCGGCUGGUGGGAGAAGAAACAGACUCAUUCUAAAAUCCAUUACAUGUUUUACGAGGAUUUGA